rnacentral:pre_miRNA from 1 species
UAACUACUCCCUUCGUUUGGAAUUACUUGUCUCGAAAAUAGAUGUAUCUAAAACUAAAAUACGUUUAGAUACAUCCAUUUUUGCGACAAGUAAUUUUGAAUGGAGGGAGUAGGAU